rnacentral:rRNA from 1 species
AACGAACGCUGGCGGCAUGCCUAACACAUGCAAGUCGAACGAGACCUUCGGGUCUAGUGGCGCACGGGUGCGUAACGCGUGGGAACCUGCCCUUAGGUUCGGAAUAACUCCCCGAAAGGGGUGCUAAUACCGGAUAAUGUCUUCGGACCAAAGAUUUAUCGCCUUUGGAUGGGCCCGCGUUGGAUUAGCUAGUUGGUAGGGUAAAAGCCUACCAAGGCGACGAUCCAUAGCUGGUCUGAGAGGAUGAUCAGCCACACUGGGACUGAGACACGGCCCAGACCCCCAGGGGGGGGAAGAGGGGGGGAAUAUGGAAAAGGGGCGAAAGGUGUGCCCAGCAAAGGCCGGGGGAGUGAGGAGGGCUUGGGGGGUGAAAGGUUUUUUUCCCGGGGAUAAAAAUGACGGAACGGGAGAAAAAGGCCCCGGCUACCCCCGUG